rnacentral:rRNA from 1 species
AGUCGAACGUGAAAGCACUUCGGUGUGAGUAGAGUGGCGGACGGGUGAGUAACGCGUGGGAAUCUGCCCAGUAGUGGGGGACAACUACCGGAAACGGUAGCUAAUACCGCAUACGCCCUAUGGGGGAAAGGCUUCGGCCGCUAUUGGAUGAGCCCGCGUCAGAUUAGCUAGUUGGUAGGGUAAAGGCCUACCAAGGCAACGAUCUGUAGCUGGUCUGAGAGGACGAACAGCCACACUGGGACUGAGACACGGCCCAGACUCCUACGGGAGGCAGCAGUGGGGAAUAUUGGACAAUGGGCGAAAGCCUGAUCCAGCAAUGCCGCGUGUGUGAAGAAGGCCUGCGGGUUGUAAAGCACUUUCAGUUGGGAAGAUGAUGACGUUACCAACAGAAGAAGCACCGGCUAAAUCCGUGCCAGCAGCCGCGGUAAUACGGAUGGUGCGAGCGUUAAUCGGAAUUACUGGGCGUAAAGCGUGCGUAGGUGGUUGUUUAAGUCAGAUGUGAAAGCCCCGGGCUUAACCUGGGAACUGCAUUUGAAACUGGAUAACUAGAGUAUAGUAGAGGAAAGUAGAAUUUCUGGUGUAGCGGUGAAAUGCGUAGAUAUCAGAAGGAAUACCGAUGGCGAAGGCAGCUUUCUGGACUAAUACUGACACUGAGGUACGAAAGCGUGGGUAGCAAACAGGAUUAGAUACCCUGGUAGAAGGGC